AGCAGCCGCGGUAAUUCCAGCUCCAAUAGCGUAUAUUAAAGUUGUUGCAGUUAAAAAGCUCGUAGUUGAACUUCGGGAUCAAUGAAUCGGUCAUGCUUUCGUAUGUACUGGUUCUAUUAGUUCUCACCUUCUAAGGAACCAUAAUGUCAUUCAUUUGAUGUUGUGGGGAAUUAGGACUGUUACCUUGAAAAAAUUAGAGUGUUUAAAAGCAGGCUAACGCUUGAAUACAUUAGCAUGGAAUAAUGAAAUAGGACAUCGCAUUCUAUUUUGUUGGUUUCUAGGAUCGAUGUAAUGAUUAAUAGGGAUAGUUGGGGGCAUUAGUAUUCAAUUGUCAGAGGUGAAAUUCUUGGAUUUAUUGAAGACUAACUACUGCGAAAGCAUUUGCCAAGGAUGUUUUCAUUAAUCAAGAACGAAAGUUAGGGGAUCGAAGACGAUCAGAUACCGUCGUAGUCUUAACCAUAAACUAUGCCGACUAGGGAUCGGAUGAUGUUGAUUUUUUAAUGUACU
rnacentral:rRNA from 1 species